GAGCCGACCCGAAUUUCAAAAGGCAGCCGUUAAAAUUCAACGAGACGCUCUCCGAACUCCGGCGACAGGCGACCGGUGACGACAGUGCCGUACCUCGUUCUCCGAUGAGUGGUAUGAAGGAUCCUUCGUGAAAUCGAGGACAAUCCUCUGGAAAUGGAAACCGAAGUUCAAAAUGGAGAUAUUGAAUUGACAGGUUCCAGUUGGACGAGUUCUCCAGGCUAAUACGGGAUAUGAAAGGAUUCAGCUUUCCACUCUGAGGGUGAACCCAGA